GUGGACUCUCAAGCGUGAGGUAAGGGCAUCUGGUGAAUGCCUUGGCAUGUACAGGCGAUGAAGGACGUGGCACGCUGCGAUAAGCGUGGGGGAGCUGUGAGCAAGCUUUGAUCCCGCGAUUUCCGAAUGGGACAACCCACCUUCACCAUUUAAGACUGCGCCAGCUUCUGCUGGAUCAGUGUUAAAUGGGAGAGGUAUCACUAAGCUGAAUAAAAUAGGCUUUGGUGAGGCGAACCCGGAGAACUGAAACAUCUCAGUACCCGGAGGAAAAGACAUCAACCGAGAUUCCGUUAGUAGUGGCGAGCGAACGCGGACCAGGCCAGUGCCUGGUGUUUAGUUAACAGAAGCCUCUGGAAAGUGGCGCCAUAGCGGGUGACAGCCCCGUAUGUGAAAGCGAAACAUCAGGACUUGAGUAGGGCGGAGCACGUGAAACUCUGUCUGAACAUGGGGGGACCACCCUCCAAGCCUAAAUACUCGUACAUGACCGAUAGCGAACCAGUACCGUGAGGGAAAGGUGAAAAGCACCCCGAUGAGGGGAGUGAAACAGUACCUGAAACCGGAUGCCUACAAGCAGUGGGAGGGUCCUUGAGACCUGACCGCGUACCUCUUGCAUAAUGGGUCUGUGACUUAGUGUAUCAUGCAAGCUUAAGCCGUUAGGUGUAGGCGCAGCGAAAGCGAGUCUGAAUAGGGCGACCAUGAGUAUGAUGCAUUAGACCCGAAACCCGGCGAUCUAGGCAUGACCAGGUUGAAGGUGCGGUAACACGCACUGGAGGACCGAACCGUUUAAUGUUGAAAAAUUAUCGGAUGAGUUGUGUUUAGGGGUGAAAGGCCAAUCAAGCCGGGAAAUAGCUGGUUCUCCGCGAAAUCUAUUGAGGUAGAGCGUCGGAUGAUUGCCGUUGGGGGUAGAGCACUGGAUGGUUGCGGGGGUCGCGAGAUCUACCAAUACUAACCAAACUCCGAAUACCAACGAGUCUAGUCCGGCAGACAGACGGCGGGUGCUAAGGUCCGUCGUCAAAAGGGAAACAGCCCUAACCUACAGCUAAGGUCCCCAAGUCACGUCUAAGUGGGAAAGCAUGUGGGAUUUCCAAAACAACCAGGAGGUUGGCUUAGAAGCAGCCAUCCUUUAAAGAAAGCGUAACAGCUCACUGGUCUAAAUAAGAGAUCCUGCGGCGAAGAUGUAACGGGGCUCAAGACGUGCACCGAAGCUUAGGGUUCAGUCUUUUGACUGAGCGGUAGCGGAGCGUUCCGUAGGCCGUUGAAGCGGGAGGGUAACCGACCGUGGAGGUAUCGGAAGUGCGAAUGCAGACAUGAGUAGCGAUUAACAGUGUGAGAUGCACUGUCGCCGAAAUUCCAAGGGUUCCUGCUUAAAGCUAAUCUGAGCAGGGUAAGCCGGCCCCUAAGACGAGCCCGAAGGGGGUAGUCGAUGGGAACCACGUUAAUAUUCGUGGGCCUGGUGGUGUGUGACGGAUGGCGUAACUUGUUCGGCCUUAUUGGAUUGGUCCGGGCAGGGAAGUUGUCCCAGGAAAUAGCCCCACCGUAUAGACCGUACCCUAAACCGACACAGGUGGAAUGGUAGAGUAUACCAAGGCGUUUGAGAGAAGUAUCCUGAAGGAACUCGGCAAAUUGCCUCCGUACCUUCGGAAGAAGGAGGCCCCACAUUAAGGCAACUUUUUGUGGGGGGCACAGGCCAGGGGGUAGCGACUGUUUAGCAAAAACACAGGGCUCUGCUAAGUCGGCUUCAAGACGACGUAUAGGGCCUGACGCCUGCCCGGUGCCUGAAGGUUAAGAGGAGGAGUGCAAGCUCUGAAUUGAAGCCCAGGUAAACGGCGGCCGUAACUAUAACGGUCCUAAGGUAGCGAAAUUCCUUGUCGGGUAAGUUCCGACCUGCACGAAUGGCGUAACGACUUCCCCACUGUCUCCAGGAUAUGCUCAGCGAAAUUGAAUUCUCCGUGAAGAUGCGGAGUACCCGCGGUUAGACGGAAAGACCCCGUGCACCUUUACUGCAGCUUCAGAGUGGCAUUAGGAAAGAACUGUGUAGCAUAGGUGGGAGGCUUUGAAGCGAUGACGCCAGUUGUCGUGGAGCCAUAGGUGAAAUACCACCCUGUUGUUUUCUGAUGUCUAACCUCGCACCGUUAUCCGGUGCAGGGACCCUCUGUGGCGGGUAGUUUGACUGGGGCGGUCGCCUCCUAAAGAGUAACGGAGGCGCGCGAUGGUGGGCUCAGGACGGUUGGAAACCGUCUGUUAGAGUGCAAUGGCAUAAGCCCGCCUGACUGCGAGACUGACAAGUCGAGCAGAGACGAAAGUCGGUCAUAGUGAUCCGGUGGUCCCUCGUGGAAGGGCCAUCGCUCAACGGAUAAAAGGUACGCCGGGGAUAACAGGCUGAUGAUUCCCAAGAGCUCAUAUCGACGGAAUCGUUUGGCACCUCGAUGUCGGCUCAUCACAUCCUGGGGCUGGAGCAGGUCCCAAGGGUUUGGCUGUUCGCCAAUUAAAGUGGUACGUGAGCUGGGUUCAGAACGUCGCGAGACAGUUUGGUCCCUAUCUGCCGUGGGCGUCGAAAUUUGAGAGGAGUUGACCCUAGUACGAGAGGACCGGGUUGAACAUACCUCUGGUGUACCAGUCGUCCUGCCAAGGGCGCAGCUGGGUAGCUAUGUAUGGACGGGAUAACCGCUGAAAGCAUCUAAGCGGGAAGCCUCCCUCAAGAUAAGAUUUCAUCGAGCCGUCGUAGACCACGACGUUGAUAGGUCGGAUGUGGAAGUGCGGUAACGCAUGGAGCUAACCGAUCCUAAUUGCUCUGUUCGCGCUUAAACG
rnacentral:rRNA from 1 species